GUGACCUCAAAUCAGGUAGGA
rnacentral:rRNA from 4 species